rnacentral:rRNA from 1 species
CGGAGGGUGCAAGCGUUAUCCGGAUUCACUGGGUUUAAAGGGAGCGCAGGCGGGCUGGUAAGUCAGUGGUGAAAGCCUUGAGCUUAACUCGAGAACUGCCAUUGAUACUAUCAGUCUUGAAUAUUGUUGAGGUUUGCGGAAUGGGUCAUGUAGCGGUGAAAUGCAUAGAUAUGACCCGGAACACCUAUUGCGAAGGCAGCAGGCUAAACAAAGAUUGACGCUGAGGCUCGAAAGCGUGGGGAUCAAACAGGAUUAGAUACCCUGGUAGUCCACGCCCUAAACUAUGAUUACUCGACAUACGCGAUACACUGUGUGUGUCUGAGCGAAAGCAUUAAGUAAUCCACCUGGGAAGUACGACCGCAAGGUUG